AUUGAACGCUGGCGGUAUGCUUAACACAUGCAAGUCGAACGGUAACAGGCCUUCGGGCGCUGACGAGUGGCGGACGGGUGAGUAACGCGUAGGAAUCUGCCUCAUAGUGGGGGACAACGUGGGGAAACUCACGCUAAUACCGCAUACGCCCUACGGGGGAAAGCGGGGGAUCUUCGGACCUCGCGCUAUGAGAUGAGCCUGCGUUAGAUUAGCUAGUUGGUAGGGUAAAGGCCUACCAAGGCGACGAUCUAUAGCUGGUCUGAGAGGACGAUCAGCCACACUGGGACUGAGACACGGCCCAGACUCCUACGGGAGGCAGCAGUGGGGAAUAUUGGACAAUGGGCGCAAGCCUGAUCCAGCAAUACCGCGUGUGUGAAGAAGGCCCUAGGGUUGUAAAGCACUUUCAAUUGGGAGGAAAACCUGCCGGUCAAUACCCGGCAGCUCGACAUUACCCUUAGAAGAAGCACCGGCUAACUCCGUGCCAGCAGCCGCGGUAAU
rnacentral:rRNA from 1 species